UACGGAGGGUGCAAGCGUUAUCCGGAUUUACUGGGUUUAAAGGGUGCGUAGGUGGGUAGGAAAGUCAGUGGUGAAAUCUUCGGGCUUAACCCGGAAACUGCCAUUGAUACUAUUUAUCUUGAAUACUUUGGAGGUAAGCGGAAUAUGUCAUGUAGCGGUGAAAUGCUUAGAUAUGACAUAGAACACCAAUUGCGAAGGCAGCUUACUAGGCUGUAACUGACGCUGAGGCACGAAAGCGUGGGGAGCAAACAGG
rnacentral:rRNA from 1 species